UACAGGGGGUGCAAACGUUGUUCGGAAUUACUGGGCGUAAAGUGCGCGUAGGCGGACCUGCAAGUCGGGGGUGAAAGCCCGAGGCUCAACCUCGGAACUGCCUUCGAUACUGCGGGUCUCGAGUCCGGGGGAGGUGAGUGGAAUUCCUAGUGUAGAGGUGAAAUUCGUAGAUAUCAAGCGGAACACCGGUGGCGAAGGCGGCCGUCUGGACAGUGACUGACGCUGAGACGCGAAAGCGUGGGGAGCAAACAGG
rnacentral:rRNA from 1 species